GCUAGUGUGGCAUAGUGGUUAGAGUGCUGGGUUAUGAUGCUGGAGACCAGGGUUCGAUUACCCGCUUGGGCA